rnacentral:rRNA from 1 species
CAUGCAGGCGGAUCGCUAAGUCAGGGGUGAAAGCCCGAGGCUCAACCUCGGAACUGCCUUUGAUACUGGCGAUCUUGAGUCCGGGAGAGGUGAGUGGAACUCCGAGUGUAGAGGUGAAAUUCGUAGAUAUUCGGAAGAACACCAGUGGCGAAGGCGGCUCACUGGCCCGGUACUGACGCUGAGAUGCGAAAGCGUGGGGAGCAAACAGGAUUAGAUACCCUGGUAGUCC